GAAAAAGAAAAAAAAAAAAAAGAAAGAAGAUCAGAAGGUAAUCAUUAUGUCUCACCCAAUCCACCAAGCCAAUGAAAAUAGCCCAUUUGGGGACUUCACAAGAGAAGAGUUCUACAGAAAGAACCAAAUUCUUCACCAACAAUCCUUCAUGCUCAACGAGGAGAACAUGAACAUCUUCACUCAAUCAUGGCGUCUUGAUUCCACCUUCAACCCUAAAGGGUUAGUAGCUAUGGUCCAUGGCUACUCCUCUGAAAGCAGCUGGCUCAAUGAGCUUACUGCAGUAGCUAUAGCCAAAAAUGGGUUCUUGGUCUGUGCUCUUGACCUCCAGGGCCAUGGCCGCUCUGAUGGGUUGCCUGGUCACAUACCAAAUAUCCAACCUGUUGUUAAUGAUUGCAUACAGUUUUUUGACUCUGUUAAGGCAGAUAAUCCCAAGCUUCCUGCUUUUCUUUAUGGAGAAUCACUAGGAGGUGCAAUUUCAGUUCUCAUAUGCUUACAGCAAAGAUUUGCAUGGAAUGGUUUGAUUUUGAACGGCUCAAUGUGUGGAAUUUCUCCCAAGUUUAAGCCCAUUUGGCCAUUGGAGAAGCUACUUCCUGUGGCUGCACUGUUUGCACCCACUUGGAAAGUAGUGGCCUCAAAGCCAGUGGCUAGCAAAUCUUACAAAGAAGAGUGGAAAAGAAGGUUGGUGGCAAAGAACCCGAAUCGCCGGACGACAGGGAAGCCACCGGCAGCGACAGCAUUAGAGUUUCUGAGGAUUUGUGAGUAUAUAAAGGGGCAUUGCCAUGAACUAGAGGUUCCAUUGCUGAUGGUGCAUGGGGAGGAUGAUAUGGUCUGUGACUUCAACUCUGCUAGGUUUGUGUAUGAAUCAGCUGCGAGCAAGGACAAAACUAUGAGGGUAUUUCCUGGUAUGUGGCACGUUUUGAUUGGAGAACCCAAGGAAAAUGUAGAGCUUGUAUUUGGGACUAUCUUCGCAUGGCUUGGAGAGCAUGCUCCUCAGGCUAAAACAGCCACAAAUUAGCUUCUUUUUUUUUUGCUUUAUUUUUAAGUGAUAAGUUUUAAUGUUUAAAUAAAAUCUCAUAUUCGUGAAUUUUUU
rnacentral:misc_RNA from 1 species